rnacentral:tRNA from 1 species
GCACUUGUAGCUCAGUGGAUUUAGAGCGCCCCGCUACGGACGGGGAGGUCGAGGGUUCGAAUCCUUCCUGGUGCACCA